UACGGAAGGCAGCAGUGGGGAAUAUUGCACAAUGGGCGAAAGCCUGAUGCAGCUAUGCCGCGUGUAUGAAGAAGGCCUUAGGGUUGUAAAGUACUUUCAUCGGGAAGGAAAAACAAAACUAAUAAUUUUAUUUCUUGACGUUACCCGAAAAAGAAGCACCGGCUAACUCCGUGCCAGCAGCCGCGGUAAUACGGAGGGUGCUAGCGUUAAUCAGAAUUACUGGGCGUAAAGAGCACGUAGGUGGUUUUUUUAAGUCAGAUGUGAAAUCCCUGGGCUUAACCUAGGAACUGCAUUUUGAAACUGAAAUACUAGAGUAUCGUAGAGGGAGGUAGAAUUCUAGGUGUAGCGGUGAAAUGCGUAGAUAUCUGGAGGAAUACCUGUGGCGAAAGCGGCCUCCUAAACGAAUACUGACACUGAGUGCGAAAGCGUGGGGAGCAAACAGGGAUUAGAUACC
rnacentral:rRNA from 1 species